CGCACGCAGCACCCCGCGGCCCCGGCCGCGGUCCCGAGGACGAUUAGCUCAGCGGGAGAGCGCUUCCCUGAC
rnacentral:tRNA from 1 species